rnacentral:rRNA from 1 species
UACGGAGGAUGCAAGCGUUAAUCGGAAUUACUGGGCGUAAAGCGCACGCAGGCGGUUAGAUAAGUUAGCUGUGAAAGCCCCGGGCUGAACCUGGGAAUUGCAUUUAAAACUGUCAGGCUAGAGUCUUGUAGGGGGGGGUAGAAUUCCAGGUGUAGCGGUGAAAUGCGUAGAGAUCUGGAGGAAUACCGGUGGCGAAGGCGGCCGCCUGGACAAAGACUGACGCUCAGGUGCGAAAGCGUGGGGAGCAAACAGG